GUCCCCGUAGAUUAGUGGUUAGAUCACCACGUUGUGGUAGAGCAUUGCUCGUCGCAAACCGUGGUAACCCAGGCUCGAAUCCUGGCAGGGACA